GUUUCCUCAGCCGCGUCCAGCCUCGCAGCACUGCUCUUCUGCUUGCUACUCCAGCGAAGGGACAUGCCUGCUGGCCAGGACGCUUAGUGGGCCUCGUAACCUGGCGAGUGUGUGCCCGCGCGUGUCCACCCUGCCCCCGGCCGGUGCGCCCCGCGCGCCCAAACCCGGCCGGCGACCACUGCGCGCCGGGCGCUUCCAAACUGCUCCUGUCCAGAGGCAUCCCUCUUUCGGCUUUCUCCAUCCCGCGUCCGCUUCCGCACCCGAGAGCGACAAGCAAAAAAGAUUCAGUGCAACUCAAGGACUGGUUUGUUAUACUCAAAAUGUACCAGGAACAGGAACAAAAGUAUUUUAUAAAAUAAUUAAUUUUUAUGGGCUAUGAGUCCCAAAUGGUUAUGUAAUCAAAGUGGAAGCAGAAAAGCAUGGCUUAGAAAAUAAUUGGUCAUGUCAUGUCACGCUUAACACAUGUGCAGGUUCUGCCCUCCAGGUUGCAGUGCGAUGGUGUGAUCAAUGCUCAUAGUAGCUUCAAACUCCCAGGAUCAAGUGAUCCUCCUAAAUAAACCUCCUGAGUAGCUGGGACUACAGCUUCCACCAUGGGAUGAUACAGCAUGAAGGCCCUCACCAGAUAUGCACCCCUUGAUUUUGGACUUCCCAGACUCCAGAACUAUCUCUGUGGUUACUCUGUGAAUUGGUCUGUACAGGCCCACUUGAGUACAGAUGAGCCAUUUCAGCUAAGCCUACAAGACACUUCCAGCUAAACCUAGCCCAAAUUGCCAACUUGCAGAAUUGUAAGCUAAAUAAAUGACUGUAAGCCGUUAAGUUCUGAGGUGUUUUUUAUGCAGGAAAAAGUAACUAUUACAACGUUGAAGCUAAAUCGA
rnacentral:lncRNA from 10 species